AUGGCUCAGAUUGAACGCUGGCGGCAGGCCUAACACAUGCAAGUCGAACGGUAACAGGAAGAAGCUUGCUCUUGCUGACGAGUGGCGGACGGGUGAGUAAUGUCUGGGAAACUGCCUGAUGGAGGGGGAUAACUACUGGAAACGGUAGCUAAUACCGCAUAACGUCGCAAGACCAAAGAGGGGGACCUUCGGGCCUCUUGCCAUCGGAUGUGCCCAGAUGGGAUUAGCUUGUUGGUGGGGUAACGGCUCACCAAGGCGACGAUCCCUAGCUGGUCUGAGAGGAUGACCAGCCACACUGGAACUGAGACACGGUCCAGACUCCUACGGGAGGCAGCAGUGGGGAAUAUUGCACAAUGGGCGCAAGCCUGAUGCAGCCAUGCCGCCGUGUAUGAAGAAGGCCUUCGGGUUGUAAAGUACUUUCAGCGGGGAGGAAGGGUGUAAAGUUAAUACCUUUGCUCAUUGACGUUACCCGCAGAAGAAGCACCGGCUAACUCCGUGCCAGCAGCGGC
rnacentral:rRNA from 1 species